rnacentral:rRNA from 1 species
CCCCACCGUAUGAAGACAGCUGAAGACUUUUCUCAAUGAUGUAAGUGGUGGUGCAUGGUCGUUCUUAGUUCGUGGAUUGAUUUGUCUGGUCUAUUCCGAUAACGAGCGAGACCCCUCCGUUCCUACUAGGGGCGGCAGCCCGGCCUUCUUGCCUCACGGCGAGUCUGCUAGCAGCCGCUUAAGAAAUUACUUCUUAGACGUAUCAGGGCCGAUAAGGUCCUUGAAAUGGGUUAAUAACAGGUUUGCCAAAAUUGACUGGCCUGUAACAGUCGAGCUUCACGGCUUGGCUAGUGGUACUGCACUCUUGAUAGGGGCUGGGGUAAUGCCUGGUCCUCGAUAGGGCAACGUGCUGCGACACCUUCAAAUUGCUGGAACACCCUAAAGGCAGAACCACCAACCUCGAGCUCGAAAGGGCUUCAGGCAUACGGUAACAGCGUUCUGUAUGAAGGCACCCUUAGCUGGGUGCUUGAAAUGGGCAACCAGCAGCUAAAUCCUAAGGGCAGGCAUGAAGCAUCACGCUGAUUCCUGCUACGGAUGCAGUUCACAGACUAAACGUGGGUGGGGUUACGCUGUAGUCAGCACUCGAAACCAAUAGAGAGUACUGGCGAGUAACCCUAAGAUAUAGUCGGGCCUCUAGCGAAAGCUACGGGAAAAUAGCAGUCAUGCCCUUAGAUGUUCUGGGCCGCACGCGCGUUACAAUGGUAUAAAUAGAACGUGCUCCUUUGGGGCUUCUCCGCGGCCGACGGGUCGCGGUAACCCCUAGUCUCUUCCUUGACUGGGACAGACUAUUGCAAUUAUUGGUCUCCAACGAGGAAUUUUUAGUAGUCGCAGGUCAUUAACCUGCGACGAAUGCGUCCCUGCCCUUGUAAAAGGGGCGUGGUGGGCAGAAAGUCUGCUGAAAGGCAGAUUGUAGCUAGCUGCGUCUCUCAAGGGGCAAAAGGGGUUUGAAAGACCUCUAGUCCAGUCCUCACGGACACACUGAUCGACAGGCGUGAAGGAGUGCGUGGGAGGCCUCGGCAGGGGUACCUGCUAUCUCUGGAUGGCACACUAGCAAUUGCGGGAAUUCCUGAUGUCACCAGCCUACCACCAGUCCUUGAAAAGGGGCCGGGCCGGAGCGUAAAUAGCUUCG